GAUGAACGCUGGCGGCGUGCCUAAUACAUGCAAGUCGAGCGAACAGACGAGGAGCUUGCUCCUCUGACGUUAGCGGCGGACGGGUGAGUAACACGUGGAUAACCUACCUAUAAGACUGGGAUAACUUCGGGAAACCGGAGCUAAUACCGGAUAAUAUAUUGAACCGCAUGGUCCAAUAGUGAAAGACGGUUUUGCUGUCACUUAUAGAUGGAUCCGCGCCGCAUUAGCUAGUUGGUAAGGUAACGGCUUACCAAGGCAACGAUGCGUAGCCGACCUGAGAGGGUGAUCGGCCACACUGGAACUGAGACACGGUCCAGACUCCUACGGGAGGCAGCAGUAGGGAAUCUUCCGCAAAGGGCGAAAGCUUGACGGAGCAACGCCGCGUGAGUGAUGAAGGUCUUCGGAUCGUAAAACUCUGUUAUUAGGGAAGAACAAAUGUGUAAGUAACUAUGCACGUCUUGACGGUACCUAAUCAGAAAGCCACGGCUAACUACGUG
rnacentral:rRNA from 1 species